UGUUUGAUGUUCUAACGUGGACCCGUUAGCCGGGUUGCGGACAGUGUCUGGUGGGUAGUUUGACUGGGGCGGUCUCCUCCUAAAGAGUAACGGAGGAGCACGAAGGUUGGCUAAUCCUGGUCGGACAUCAGGAGGUUAGUGCAAUGGCAUAAGCCAGCUUGACUGCGAGCGUGACGGCGCGAGCAGGUGCGAAAGCAGGUCAUAGUGAUCCGGUGGUUCUGAAUGGAAGGGCCAUCGCUCAACGGAUAAAAGGUACUCCGGGGAUAACAGGCUGAUACCGCCCAAGAGUUCAUAUCGACGGCGGUGUUUGGCACCUCGAUGUCGGCUCAUCACAUCCUGGGGCUGAAGUAGGUCCCAAGGGUAUGGCUGUUCGCCAUUUAAAGUGGUACGCGAGCUGGGUUUAGAACGUCGUGAGACAGUUCGGUCCCUAUCUGCCGUGGGCGCUGGAGAACUGAGGGGGGCUGCUCCUAGUACGAGAGGACCGGAGUGGACGCAUCACUGGUGUUCGGGUUGUCAUGCCAAUGGCACUGCCCGGUAGCUAAAUGCGGAAGAGAUAAGUGCUGAAAGCAUCUAAGCACGAAACUUGCCCCGA
rnacentral:rRNA from 1 species